CUUUCGACGUCUUUUUUACAUAUAGAAACAUAUCAAGUGGAGAAAAAGACUUCAAGGUUGUCUCGACACACUGAUGUGAGUACAAUCACGAAAACAUCGAUUACACAGGAGGAAACAGAAGGAGAUGUUCGAUAUCUAAUACACACACUUCUCAUACACACUCCAAAGUACUUGUUCUUUUGCAUUUACAGAUACUUAAUCAACAUAUAUAUUGCCACAACAAGAAUGACAAUUCCAAGCACCGCUAGAAGCAUACACAUGCAAGAGCAACCACCCUUUGUGCGUUUGUUCAAAAUUCCAAGCUUUCUCUGCACCCGCUGAAGUCUUGAGUCUGUAACAUCAACAUGUUCGUCCAGGUCAUCAAUAAGUCUUGUUUGCAAGCCAAGUUCUUCAUUAACUGCCAGUGCUAUAUGUUUAGUGCUCAUCACUGUCUCCUCCAGACUCUCAAGGCCCUCAUCUUGCUCUUUCAUAAUUUGCCGUUGAAGACCGACAACGCCAUUAUUGUCAAGACCUGUUGCUCUGCUCAUAGCAUCCACAGGCUUUAUUUCUGGUCCAAGCAAACUGUCCCUAUUCGCGAAGCUUGACAUGUUCAAUGUGGAAGCCAUUUGAGAUACUUUCGAUUUUAAAUUUGCAAGCAUAUCCUUGCGACGGUUCAUCUCUUUCUCUGACAAAGGCUGCUUUCCAGGAAGCUUUGACAGGAUAGACUGUAAGUUAUCAAGUCUAGUUCCUAAAAUAGUAAUCUUCCUCCUUAUAGCGGAUGAAUGACGCUGUGCUUCUGGGCCCGAAGCAGGCAAUGAACUCCUUUCAGAUAUCAUGUUAGUGAUAUCAUCCGCGAGUUUCAGUCCUUCGUUAUACUCCCGGAUCCAUGAAUCUCCAGAAGAAGCCAUUACCUCUUUCUGAUCUGAAUUCACGGUGGCGAUGGUGGAAUUGUGAGAGAAUUUUGGAGAGAGAAACGGCGAGUCGGAAUAAUUUUAAAGAAGACGUGCCGCUAACUUUACCGGCAAAGUUUGUCCAGCUCCAUUGUCCUCUUCGUUAUUGUCUACACGCGCAUUUGGUCAUUAUUG
rnacentral:misc_RNA from 1 species